UUGUGGAGACUAUGGAGGAGC
rnacentral:piRNA from 1 species